CGCCAGCAUGUGUGAAGGCUAGAGGACAGAGGCUGAUUGAAGGGUCUGGCCGGCCCUGUUUCUGGGAGUUAGGCCAUUUGACCGAGGGCCAGGUGCCUCACCAAACUCCCUCUGUACAAGUCCACCAGGUCAUUUGCUCAUAGCUGUGUUUACACAUCAGUUUUCUUCCCCAGAGUGACAACGGUGCCAACCCCAUCAUUGUCAACAAACCACUUCUUUACUUGCUUCGUUUUCUCUAAUUCUGGGACAGACAGAAGGCUUUGCAUGGCUCCAAGAGUAACGGGUUACUUGGAGUGCAUGCCUUUAAUUGAAGCACAAGGGAAGCCAAGAGAAUCCUGGAAGGGCAUCAUCCCUGUGUAGCAGGCUGACUUGCUUUGUAGCCUGGGCUCACCCACUUCAGAUCCUCUGGCUUCGUUUAGAGUUCUGACCUUUCGUGUGCUGGGAUUCUAUGUCCCACCAUGCCCAGCCGACUCUUCCUCUACUAAUGGGUCUGAGUGACGCAGAAAUUCAGAAUUAUAACUGCUCUCUGUAGAUUCCACAAACCCAUUUGGCAGGUUGGACUGUGGGACCCGGAAUCCUUCGGGAUUCCUGCCCUAGUGGGGACUGGACAGGAAGCAACCAAACAUUAGUUUAGAUACGGCCGGAAGCCACCUGGCAGGCGUAAUCAAAGCCCCAAAAGUGUAAAUUGCGCAACAGGAAGUCCUGGUCGGGCCUCAUUCUGUAAAGUUCUCUUGGUAAUGGGGGAAGAUCAAAGCAACCUUCUGGUUGUGAGACAGUUAGAGGCAGAGAGGGGAAUGCCAGAAAAUUUGAGACAAACAUAAUCCGUUGGACUUUGACCCCCACCAAGACCCCUAUUGCAAAUCCCUCACAGAGGGGCAGUCCUGAUGUGGUUGAUGUGACCCCUCCAACAUGUAAGUCGUGCCCAGAAUACAUCUAUAAAGGCAAGACAUUCAAUGCAUUGUUUCCUAUAUCCAGUGCCUGUGCUGCCCUGUAGUGGUCACCUUCAAUCUGACAUGCAGCACAGAGCAAGCCCAGCUUCUAGAAGCUGCUGAUGGGUAGAAAGAGGGGGAGAUUAUGGGAGGAAUGGGAAAUGAGCAGAAGAGCCAGGAAGGUUCUGGAGAGCUGAGCCGGAGUCUGCAGGCUGCGAGAAGGUGGUGGGUACGCCCGUAACAUCAGCACUUGGAAGGCUGCGGAAAGCAAGAGGAUCCGAAGUUUUAUUUGAGACUGGGUUGUUUACUAAUAACCUGUGCGCUCGGUUCCCAUACGCCUAAAAAAGUGUGCUUCUAAUAAAGUCACCGAGGAGAA
rnacentral:sRNA from 1 species